AGUUUGAAAAAUUCAGAGUUGAGAAAGUUAAGAAAAUUCGGAAUUUGGAAAAUACAGAAAGUUCAGAAAAUUCAGAAAGUUGGAAAAUUCAGAGUUUGGAAAGUUCGGAAAGUUCGGACAGUUCAGAAAAUUCAGAAAGUUUGGAAAGUUCAGAAAAUUCAGAAAAUUCGGAAUUUGGAAAAUACAGAAAGUUUGGAAAGUUCAGAAAGUUCUGAAAGUUUGGGAGGUCACAAUGGCCGCCGUCGCGCCUCCUCCGGAGGAAGUGGCGAUGGCCGUUUUCGGGACUAAGCCGACCCCGAAGGACCCCGUGUCGGAUGGCGAUGCCACGUUGUUAUGGGGUCAGGACUGCAAAGCUUCGAGUUGCGACGAUUCGGGGAGAGACAGCAGACCCAAUCCCGAAGGAAGCCACGAAGAGGCCGUCGUGGUCCCGUCGGGGGACGAGGAAGCCUUCUCCAAAGCCUCUUUGGAGAAGGAAGAGGAAGAGGGAGAAGAAGAGGAGGAAGAGGAGGCCAACGCAAUGCCAGAAGCGGCCGCUCACGUCUUUGUCCCCAUCGAUCCCUAUUGCAUUGAACGCACCACGACGGGACACGAGAAGACCGGGAGGGACUUUGAGGAGCAGAGAGCCCCCCGUGAGGGAGGCAGAGUGGACCCCGAGAGGCAGAACUUUGUCUCCCAUGGCUAUUCGGCCCACUUCGAUGACCUCCCGGGCGACAUCAGGGAGCCCAAGGCCUGCGCUGACCGCUGGCCCUGCUUCCGGAACGGGACCUGCAGCUCUGCCAACCUCAAGGCUGUGGCCUCCAUGCUGGCCGCCACCGUCAUCUUCCCUUGCCUCCUCUACGGCGCCUACGUCUUCCUGCCCUUCGAUGUGCCGCUGAUGCCCACCAUGGGAACCCGCCUGGUCUACGCCCUUCGGUGCGGGGUGUUCGCCACCUUCCCCAUCGUUGUAGAGUGUCGUUCAGGAACACGCCCCUUUCCGUCUUGCAGGCAUGAUUGUCUACGGGGUUUCCCGCCUCUGCUUCUCCUCCCUCCAGCCCUUUGGGGAGCUGCGCAGGGAGGUGGAGAUCCACCGGCACUACGUCUCCCAGUCGGUCCACCUCUUCAUCCUCUACUUCUUCAACAUCGCCGUCCUCUCCACUUACCUGCCCCAGGAAGGACUCAAACUCAUCCCGCUCUUGACCGCCCUUUUUGCCAUCGCACGGCUCCUCUACUGGUUGGCCUACGCCAUGGGGCGCUCCUUCCGCGGCUUCGGCUUCGGCUUGACGUUCCUCCCGCUGCUCACCAUGCUCCUCUUCAACCUCUACAGCAUGUUCCUCAACGAUUCGGAGAGCAUGUUUGCCAUAAACGAUGCCAUGGGAGAGCAGGACAAGGCUGUCAAGCCUCGAUACUGGGGCUGAAAAGGGCCGGGACCGGCAUCCUAGAGUUGGAAGGGACCCCAAGGGACAUCCAGUCCGACCUCCUUUCUUCCGCCGUGCAGGAAGACUCCAUCCAAGCCCUCCCGACAGAUGGCCAUCCAGGGUUUUCCCUAGUGUUCUAGUCUCUGGAUCAGCAAGAGACAAUAUUUGUGCCGUCCUCAAUAGGAUAUCCUUUCCAAUAUUUACAUUUUUUUGUCCACCUCUCCUUCGUGAAUUGUGUCACAAUAUUAUUUCAGAUGAGAUCGGACCAAAGAAUAGAGGCUAUGGUGGCACAGCGGGUUAAACUGCUGAGCUGCAGAACAUGCUGGCCGAAAGGUUGGUGAGCUCCCGCUGUCAGCCCCAGCUCCUGCCAACCUAGCAGUUUGAAAACAUGCAAAUGUGAGUAGGUACUGCUUCGGUGAGAAGGUCACCGCUGAGCAGCUGAACUUGCUGACCAAAAGAUCAGCGGUUUGAAUCUGGGAAGCAGGGGGAGCUGCUGCUGUUAGCUCCAGCUCCUGCUAACCUAGCAGUUCAAAAACAUGCAAAUGUGAGUAGAUAAGUAGGUACCGCUUUGGCAGGAAUGUCACUGCUGGGUCUCUGAACUUGCUGACCGAAAGAUCAGAAGUUCGAAUCCGGGGAGUGGGGUGAGCUCCUGCUGUUAGCCCCAGCUUUCGCCAACCUAGCAGUCAAAAACAUGUAAAUGUGAGUAGAUCAAUAGGUACCACUUCAGCGGGAAAGUCACCACUGAGCUGCUGAACUUGCUGACCAAAAGAUCAGCGGUUUGAAUCCAGGGAGCGGGAUGAGCUCCCGCUGUCAGCCCCAGCUCCUGCCAACCUAGCAGUUCAAAAACAUGCAAAUGUGAGUAGAUCAUUAGGUACCGCUUCAGCAGGAAGGUCACCACUGAGCUGCUGAACUUGCUGACCGAAAGAUCAGAAGUUCGAAUCCGGGGAGUGGGGUGAGCUCCUGCUGUUAGCCCCAGCUUUUGCCAACCUAGCAGUCAAAAACAUGCAAAUGUGAGUAGAUCAAUAGGUACCGCUUUGGCGGGAAGGUAAUGGCGCUCCAUGCAGUCAUGCUGGCCACAUGACCUUGGAGGUGUCUGUGGACAGCGCCGGCUCUUUGGCUUCGAAAUGGAGAUGAGCGCCGGAGUCCCAGAGUCGGACACGACUAGAUUUAAUGUCAAGGGGAAAACGUUACCUACUGACCAAAGAAGAAUACGAUUUCCUUUGAUCUCAUGCUAUUGAUGCAGACUAGAAUCGCAUUGGCCUUUUUUCGCUGGCGCAUCACAUUGUUGGCUCGUGUUCAGCUGGUGGUCGGCUACGAAAUGCCUUUUCAAGAGGGGGAAAAAGGCUGGUUAUCAAUCUAUCUAUACACCUAAUAAAAGUAAAAAAA